rnacentral:rRNA from 1 species
GACUGCUGGAAUGCAUCGAGAUCGAAAGCUCCGGCGCCUAAGGAUGGGUCUGCGGCCUAUCAGGUAGUAGUGGGUGUAGCGUACCUACUAGCCUACGACGGGUACGGGUUGUGAGAGCAAGAGCCCGGAGAUGGAUUCUGAGACACGAAUCCAGGCCCUACGGGGUGCAGCAGGCGCGAAAACUUUACAAUGCUGGAAACAGCGAUAAGGGGACCUCGAGUGCCAGGUUACAAAUCUGGCUGUCGUGAUGCCUAAAAAGCAUUGCAUAGCAAGGGCCGGGCAAGACCGGUGCCAGCCGCCGCGGUAACACCGGCGGCUCGAGUGGUAACCGUUAUUAUUGGGUCUAAAGGGUCUGUAGCCGGCCGGAUAAGUCUCUUGGGAAAUCCAGCAGCUCAACUGUUGGGCUUUCAGGAGAUACUGUCUGGCUCGAGGCCGGGAGAGGUGAGAGGUACUUCAGGGGUAGGGGUGAAAUCUUGUAAUCCUUGAAGGACCACCAGUGGCGAAGGCGUCUCACCAGAACGGACCUGACGGCAAGGGACGAAAGCUAGGGGCACGAACCGGAUUAGAUACCCGGGUAGUCCUAGCCGUAAACGAUACUCGCUAGGUGUCGGCCACGGUGCGACCGUUGUCGGUGCCGUAGGGAAGCCGUGAAGCGAGCCACCUGGGAAGUACGGCCGCAAGGCUGAAACUUAAAGGAAUUGGCGGGGGAGCACCACAACGGGUGGAGCUUGCGGUUUAAUUGGAUUCAAC